rnacentral:snRNA from 1 species
GCGCUCACUUUGGCAGCACACGUACUAAAACUGGAACAGUAUGGAGAAUAUUAGCAUGGCCCUGAGCAAGGAUGACACACAAAUUUGUGAAGUGUUCCAUAGUUUU